AGGACGAACGCUGGCGGCGUGCUUAACACAUGCAAGUCGAGCGGAAAGGCCUUUCGGGGUACUCGAGCGGCGAACGGGUGAGUAACACGUGAGUAAUCUGCCCAUCGCUUCAGGAUAGCCAUCGGAAACGGUGAUUAAUACUGGAUAUGACAUUCCUUCGCAUGUUGGGGUGUGGAAAGUUUUUUCGGCGGUGGAUGUGCUCGCGGCCUAUCAGCUUGUUGGUGGGGUAAUGGCCUACCAAGGCUUUGACGGGUAGCCGGCCUGAGAGGGUGACCGGCCACACUGGGACUGAGACACGGCCCAGACUCCUACGGGAGCAGCAGUGGGGAAUAUUGGACAAUGGGCGAAGCCUGAUCCAGCAACGCCGCGUGAGGGAUGACGG
rnacentral:rRNA from 1 species